rnacentral:rRNA from 1 species
GAUGAACGCUGGCGGCGUGCCUAAUACAUGCAAGUCGAGCGAAUGGAUUAAGAGCUUGCUCUUAUGAAGUUAGCGGCGGACGGGUGAGUAACACGUGGGUAACCUGCCCAUAAGACUGGGAUAACUCCGGGAAACCGGGGCUAAUACCGGAUAACAUUUUGAACCGCAUGGUUCGAAAUUGAAAGGCGGCUUCGGCUGUCACUUAUGGAUGGACCCGCGUCGCAUUAGCUAGUUGGUGAGGUAACGGCUCACCAAGGCAACGAUGCGUAGCCGACCUGAGAGGGUGAUCGGCCAGAAUGGGACUGGGACACGGCCCAGACUCCUACGGGAGGCAGCAGUAGGGAAUCAUCAGCAAUGGACGGAAGUCUGACGGAGCAACGCCGCGUGAGUGAUGAAGGCUUUCGGGUCGUAAAACUCUGUUGUUAGGGAAGAACAAGUGCUAGUUGAAUAAGCUGGCACCUUGACGGUACCUAACCAGAAAGCCACGGCUAACUACGUGCCAGCCGCCGCGGUAA